UACGUAGGGGGCAGGCGUUGUCCGGAAUCAUUGGGCGUAAAGAGCGUGUAGGCGGCCCGAUAAGUCCGCUGUGAAAGUCCAGGGCUCAACCCUGGGAUGCCGGUGGAUACUGUCGGGCUCGAGUCCGGAAGAGGCAAGUGGAAUUCCCGGUGUAGCGGUGAAAUGCGCAGAUAUCAGGAGGAACACCGAUGGCGAAGGCAGGUCUCUGGGCAUUAACUGACGCUGAGGAGCGAAAGCAUGGGGAGCGAACAGG
rnacentral:rRNA from 1 species